AAGGACGGGAUGCGUAGGCGCAGU
rnacentral:siRNA from 1 species